rnacentral:ncRNA from 1 species
AACCCAGUUUCGGGGACCUUGGUACAGGCAGGCCGAGAAUCCCCUCUUUACACCCGGGGUGCUUGAUGCGAACCGCGUCGCGCUCCACACCGCUUUCGGGAACCUCGGUACAGGCAGGCCGGGGAUUCCCUCUUUAACACCGAAGCCUCUGGCUUCACCCCGUUUUGGGAGCCCUGGUACAGGCAGGCCGGGAACUCCCUCUUUUAUUGCUCUUGG